AUUGAACGCUAGCGGGAUGCUUUACACAUGCAAGUCGAACGAGUGGCGGACGGGUGAGUCAUAUAUCAGAACGUGCCCAGUAGCGGGGGAUAACUACUCGAAAGCGUGGCUAAUACCGCAUACUCUUGGAGCGGCCGAUAUCGGAUUAGCUAGUUGGUGGGGUAAAGGCCCACCAAGGCAUCGAUCCGUAGCUGGUUUGAGAGGACGACCAGCCACACGGGGACUGAGACAAGGCCAAGACUCCUCCGGGUGGAAUAGGUGGGGAAUUUUGGACAAUGGGGGAAACCCUGAUCCAGCCAUCCCGCGUGUAUGAGAAGGCCCUAGGGUUGUAAAGUACUUUCAGUCGGGAGGCGUUACCGACAGAAGAAGCACCGGCUAACUCCGUGCCAGCAGCCGCGGUAAUUC
rnacentral:rRNA from 1 species